AUUGAACGCUGGCGGCAGGCCUAACACAUGCAAGUCGAGCGGAGCGGCGGACGGGUGAGUAAUGCCUAGGAUACUUCCUGGUCGUGGGGGAUAACGUCGGGAAACGGGCGCUAAUACCGUCUACUAUCAGAUGAGCCUAGGUCGGGUUACCUGGUCGGUGGGGUAAAGGCCUACCAAGGCGACGACCCGUAACUGGUCUGAGAGGAUGAUCAGGCGCACUGGAACUGAGACACGGUCCUGAGUCCUACGGGAGGAAGCAGUGGGGAAUAUUGGACAAUGGGAGAAAGCCUGAUCCAGCCAUGCCGCGUGUGUGAAGAAGGUCUUCGGAUUGUAAAGCACUUUAAGUUGGGAGGCGUUACCAACAGAAUAAGCACCGGCUAACUUCGUGCCAGCAGCCGCGGUAAUUC
rnacentral:rRNA from 1 species